rnacentral:misc_RNA from 1 species
UCUCCGUUGGUGAACCAGCGGAGGGAUCAUUACAGAGUUAUCUAACUCCCAAACCCAUGUGAACUUACCAUUUGUUGCCUCGGCAGAACCUACCCUGUAGCGGGCUGCCGGCGGACCACUAAACUCUGUUAUACUAUUGUAAUCUGAGCGUCUUAUUUUAAUAAGUCAAAACUUUCAACAACGGAUCUCUUGGUUCUGGCAUCGAUGAAGAACGCAGC